AGCUCGUCGGGGUCCACGGCCCGCGAGGCGAGGAGGUAGUCGCGCAUGACGAUGCCGUGGCGGCCCUC
rnacentral:sRNA from 1 species